rnacentral:lncRNA from 1 species
UUACUUUUAUUUAUUGAGUUGAACAUAUAUAUCUAAUUUGUACCUUUUUUUCCGUCAAAGUUCAAAGGUAAAAUUUUAUAAUUUCCAAAUCUAAUUCAAAAUAACAAUUAAAUUAGUAGAGAUAUAAGAAUGUAGCAAAGAAAAAAGAACCAACAAUAAGAUAACGACUACAACUAAAACAAUUUAAGAAUAUGUAGUAGAGGGGGUUCGGCGGGGCCGAUCGGUAGGGAGACCGGUCAGGUGGGUUUCAGGUUGGUAUGAUGGUAGAGAAGCAUUGAUGGGUUGUGAUGGAAAAGUAACGGAAGAUGCGACGGUUUAAGGUAAUUAAUAGUCAGUUACGGAUGUAAGGGCUAUAAAUAAGGAAUCAUUGACCAGGUACAN